UACGGAGGGUGCAAGCGUUAUCCGGAUUCACUGGGUUUAAAGGGAGCGUGGGUGGCUUUGUAAGUCAGUGGUGAAAUCUUAGAGCUUAACUCUAAAACUGCCAUUGAUACUGCUUAGCUUGAAUCACGUCGAGGUGGAUGGAAUAUUACAUGUAGCGGUGAAAUGCUUAGAUAUGUAAUAGAACACCGAUUGCGAAGGCAGUUCACUAGGCGUGUAUUGACACUGAGGCUCGAAAGCGUGGGGAUCAAACAGG
rnacentral:rRNA from 1 species